rnacentral:tRNA from 1 species
GAGGGUAGAGCUCAACGAUGGAGCAUGUGCUUAGCAUCCACGAGGUCUUGGGUUCAAUCCCCUGUACCUCCA